UCCUACGGGGGGCAGCAGUGGGGAAUUUUGGACAAUGGGCGAAAGCCUGAUCCAGCAAUGCCGCGUGUGUGAAGAAGGCCUUCGGGUUGUAAAGCACUUUUGUCCGGAAAGAAAUCCCUUGGGAUAAUACCUCGGGGGGAUGACGGUACCGGAAGAAUAAGGACCGGCUAACUACGUGCCAGCAGCCGCGGUAAUACGUAGGGUCCGAGCGUUAAUCGGAAUUACUGGGCGUAAAGCGUGCGCAGGCGGUUUUGUAAGACAGAUGUGAAAUCCCCGGGCUUAACCUGGGAAUUGCAUUUGUGACUGCAAGGCUAGAGUGUGUCAGAGGGGGGUAGAAUUCCACGUGUAGCAGUGAAAUGCGUAGAGAUGUGGAGGAAUACCGAUGGCGAAGGCAGCCCCCUGGGAUAACACUGACGCUCAUGCACGAAAGCGUGGGGAGCAAACAGGAUUAGAUACCCGGGUAGUCGAC
rnacentral:rRNA from 1 species